rnacentral:rRNA from 1 species
AGCGAACGCUGGCGGCAGGCCUAACACAUGCAAGUCGAACGAAGUCUUCGGACUUAGUGGCGGACGGGUGAGUAACACGUGGGAACGUGCCCUUUGGUACGGAAUGACUCAGGGAAACUUGAGCUAAUACCGUAUGUGCCCUUCGGGGGAAAGAUUUAUCGCCAUUGGAGCGGCCCGCGUCUGAUUAGCCAGUUGGUGAGGUAAAGGCUCACCAAGGCGACGAUCAGUAGCUGGUCUGAGAGGAUGAUCAGCCACAUUGGGACUGAGACACGGCCCAAACUCCUACGGGAGGCAGCAGUGGGGAAUCUUGCGCAAUGGGCGAAAGCCUGACGCAGCCAUGCCGCGUGAAUGAUGAAGGUCUUAGGAUUGUAAAAUUCUUUCACCGGGGACGAUAAUGACGGUACCCGGAGAAGAAGCCCCGGCUAACUUCGUGCCAGCCGCCGCCGUAA